rnacentral:rRNA from 1 species
CAGUCGUACGCUUCUUUUUCCCCGGAGCUUGCUCCACCGGAAAAAGAAGAGUGGCGAACGGGUGAGUAACACGUGGGUAACCUGCCCAUCAGAAGGGGAUAACACUUGGAAACAGGUGCUAAUACCGUAUAACAAUCGAAACCGCAUGGUUUUGAUUUGAAAGGCGCUUUCGGGUGUCGCUGAUGGAUGGACCCGCGGUGCAUUAGCUAGUUGGUGAGGUAACGGCUCACCAAGGCCACGAUGCAUAGCCGACCUGAGAGGGUGAUCGGCCACAUUGGGACUGAGACACGGCCCAAACUCCUACGGGAGGCAGCAGUAGGGAAUCUUCGGCAAUGGACGAAAGUCUGACCGAGCAACGCCGCGUGAGUGAAGAAGGUUUUCGGAUCGUAAAACUCUGUUGUUAGAGAAGAACAAGGAUGAGAGUAACUGUUCAUCCCUUGACGGUAUCUAACCAGAAAGCCACGGCUAACUACGUGCCAGCAGCCGCGGUAAUACGUAGGUGGCAAGCGUUGUCCGGAUUUAUUGGGCGUAAAGCGAGCGCAGGCGGUUUCUUAAGUCUGAUGUGAAAGCCCCCGGCUCAACCGGGGAGGGUCAUUGGAAACUGGGAGACUUGAGUGCAGAAGAGGAGAGUGGAAUUCCAUGUGUAGCGGUGAAAUGCGUAGAUAUAUGGAGGAACACCAGUGGCGAAGGCGGCUCUCUGGUCUGUAACUGACGCUGAGGCUCGAAAGCGUGGGGAGCAAACAGGAUUAGAUACCCUGGUAGUCCACGCCGUAAACGAUGAGUGCUAAGUGUUGGAGGGUUUCCGCCCUUCAGUGCUGCAGCUAACGCAUUAAGCACUCCGCCUGGGGAGUACGACCGCAAGGUUGAAACUCAAAGGAAUUGACGGGGGCCCGCACAAGCGGUGGAGCAUGUGGUUUAAUUCGAAGCAACGCGAAGAACCUUACCAGGUCUUGACAUCCUUUGACCACUCUAGAGAUAGAGCUUCCCCUUCGGGGGCAAAGUGCCAGGUGGUGCAUGGUGGUCGUCAGCUCGUGUCGUGAGAUGUUGGGUUAAGUCCCGCAACGAGCGCAACCCUUAUUGUUAGUUGCC